AUUGUAGCCAAAUGUCAAGGUACUUAGCUGUUAACUAAGUAAUAGUGGGAUCAAUACCCGCCAAUUUAG
rnacentral:tRNA from 1 species